rnacentral:rRNA from 1 species
UACGGGGGGGGCAAGCGUUGUUCGGAAUUACUGGGCGUAAAGGGCUCGUAGGUGGCCAACUAAGUCAGACGUGAAAUCCCCGGGCUUAACCUGGGAACUGCAGUCGAGACUGUCUAGCUAGAGUAUGGGAGAGGGAAGUGGAAUUUCAGGUGUAGCGGUGAAAUGCGUAGAUAUCUGAAGGAACAUCAGUGGCGAAAGCGACUUCCUGGACCAAUACUGACGCUCAUGUGCGAAAGCUAGGGGAGCAAACAGG